rnacentral:rRNA from 1 species
AGCUCCAAUAAGGAAAACUAAAGUUGCUGUGUUUAAAAAGCUCGUAGUUGAAUUUCGGGUAUUUGUUGCUAGCUGGUCUUAAUGGCCAUGUUGGUUUUACAGAUCCUCAUUUGCUGGAUAAUUAAUGAUGAUCUUUAUCGGUUGUCAUUAAUUGCCAGAACGUUUACUUUGAGAAAAUUAGAGUGCUAAAAGCAGGCUCACGCCUAUAUAUAUUGCAUGGAAUAAUGAAAUAAGAUCUCGAUUUUAUUUCGUUGGUUUUAGAAAUUGAGAUAAUGAUUAAUAGGAUCAGAGGGGGGCGUACGUACUGUGGUGUGAGAGGUGAAAUUCUUGGAUCGCCACAGGACGAACAGCAGCGAAGGCGUUCGCCAAGAAUGUUUUCA